CGGAUGAUACGUAAGAUUUUGCCU
rnacentral:siRNA from 1 species